GACGAACGCUGGCGGCGUGCUUAACACAUGCAAGUCGAACGCUGAAGCCCUUUCGGGGGUGGAUGAGUGGCGAACGGGUGAGUAACACGUGGGUAAUCUGCCCUGCACUCUGGGAUAAGCCUUGGAAACGGGGUCUAAUACCGGAUAGGACACAUCGCCGCAUGGUGUGUGUGUGGAAAGUUCCGGCGGUGCAGGUUGAGCCCGCGGCCUAUCAGCUUGUUGGUGGGGUGAUGGCCUACCAAGGCGACGACGGGUAGCCGGCCUGAGAGGGUGACGGGCCACACUGGGACUGAGACACGGCCCAGACUCCUACGGGAGGCAGCAGUGGGGAAUCUUGCGCAAUGGGCGAAAGCCUGACGCAGCAACGCCGCGUGGGGGAUGACGGCCUUCGGGUUGUAAACCUCUUUCGACCGGGACGAAGGGUGACUGACGGUACCGGUAGAAGCAGCACCGGCUAACUACGUGCCAGCCGCCGCAGUAA
rnacentral:rRNA from 1 species